UUUGUUUUAUUCUUUUUGUUGAUGAUUUAUGUUCUUGAUUGUGUUUUCGUGUUUGGACUUUUGACUAAUUUGUAGAUCAUCUAUAUAGGUUUCAUUUUAUGUUAAUUAACAGCCUUUCCAGAAUGUUUUUCAGUGACCCUUUUACCUUAUGAACAUGGAGCAAACUGAGGGAGGGAUGAGAAGUGAAAUUGAUGAUUUAUGUUUUGAUGUCACUUCGAUGAUGAUGAUGAUGAUGAUGAUGAUGAUGAUGAUGAUGAUGAUAGUAACCCUUUCACAAUUAUUUCUCUCUUAUUAUUCCUUUUCAGAUAUGACAUAGAUAGAUGCUUUCUAUAUCAAAAUGGGUAAGGAAAAAGGGUAAGAGGUUUAUUUUUUAUGCUUUCUAUAUGGGUAAGUCAAAGGGUUUCCUUUCAAUUGUUAUUUUAUUUUAUUAUGAAAUUGUGACGUGAUGAUCUGUUGGGGAGGGAGAAGGAAAACAUCUCAGGUAGGUAUAAAGUUUUUACUGGUGAUUCAUUGCCGCUUCCUCCUUCUCAGGCUGGUUAGUUUUCAAUUGCAUUUCUAUAAAGUUUUAAACUUUCUUGUUUUUAGGUUAUAAAAAUUGAUGCUUUAUUAUGUGGUUUUAAUUUGGCCAAUUUAAUUUAUCUAUUUUUUGUUUCAGAAAAUGUUGGGUUUUGUUUAUUUGUUGUAUUCUUUUUGUUGAUGAUUUAUGUUCUUGAUUGUGUUUUGGUGGUUGGACUUUUGACUAAUUUGUAGGUGAUCUAUAGGUUUCAUUUUUUGGAGGUAGGUAUGUAAUUUUUUUUAUCGGGUUUGCGGAGGUUUGACACCGCCCGCCAAUGGAUGGUACUAACCAAACAAAACUUUCGUCAAGUUCUUCCUAGUUUCGACUGUUUCAGCUUUGACUGAGUUUCUAUUUUCUUUUAUUAUGCAAUUGUGAUUAAUGAUNNNNNNNNNNNNNNNNNNNNNNNNGAGCAGAAGAUACUAUAAGAGGCUGAAAGGGUAAUCAUAUCGGAAACAGAUCUUCCUCGUGACUUAGGUAUUUAGUUCUUCCUCAUGAUUUAGUCCUUUAAUUUGUAUUUCUUACUGGCUUUGAUUUAAUGUUUUUAGGUUGCUUCAGAUUUUAAACAAGUCUUGGGUACAUUCAGAAUUUUAAUUAAGCUAGGGAGUGAUUCGAUUGGAGCCCAUAUGAUCUCUAUGCCUUCAAGUAUUAACAAGGAUUAUGUUCCAGGACUAACCUUUUUAAUGGUUAUAUAGAAUAUGUAGGCAAGCUAUAAUCCUUGACUUAUAGAAAUUAAGAGUCUGUUGAUGAGAGGUACCAUUAUGAGAAUUCGUUGAGAUUCAUUGAUCAAAUUCCCCUUUGAAACUUUUUCCUUCAAUCCCUUUGAGGUACAAAUAUGUAUAUUAUCGAUGCUAAAGGAAAAUAGUAGUCGAAAAUAUCUCUAGUUAGUAUCUAGUUCCGGAGCAAAACUCCAACCCAGAGAAAUAUCUAUCUCUGAUCCUAACAGAAAAUAAUUCCAUCAUACCCUCCUUCAUUCCCUUAUUCUUAGUCACAUUCCCAUCAUUACGUGCCUAAUAUUUGUCAAAAAUUAUCAAGUGUAGGACAGUUGCUUGAAAAGGGUUCAUAAAUCAUCUUUAAGAAUAAUAUGUGUGUGCUUAAAUCUUUCGUCAAGUUCUUCCUAGUUUUGACUGUUUCAGCUUUGACCGAGUUUCUAUUUUCUUUUAUUAUGCAAUUGUGAUUGAU
rnacentral:lncRNA from 1 species